rnacentral:lncRNA from 1 species
CCAAGGUUAAGGGCACGUGCCCAAGAGACAGGUCUGUGCCUUUUGCCAAAGAUGAUUUUGAGGGCUUCAAUAUUUAAAGGGGAAAAGCAGGCUGGAGGGGAAAGAGGAAGGGUAUGGUAAUCCACACACUGCAAGGGAAAAGGAGCAAGUAGCGGAAUAGUUGAUUGUGUAUUAGUCUCACACUCAGUAAAUCGGCACUUUAUGUAAGCUGUGGUGAACAUGGAGCAGCUACCUGUGGGGAUAUUUAACCUUUUAUCUGUAGCUGUCUGAUUAGGAACAAAAGGAAAGGCAGCUUCUUGCAUGACUCAGCUUUCAGCUGAACUUUUUUUCUUUUGGCAGAGUGAACUGGGGUCCCAAGUUUUUAUGUCCCUUUCACAGGCUUGACCUUGGGGUCUUGACGAGGAAGGAGGGGAAGAGCAUUCUGGCCCUCAGGUGGGAGGUCUGACUGGCAGCACAGUGUGGGCUGAUAGAGAGCAG